rnacentral:rRNA from 1 species
GACGAACGCUGGCGGCGUGCCUAAUACAUGCAAGUAGAACGCACAGUUUAUACCGUAGCUUGCUACACCAUAGACUGUGAGUUGCGAACGGGUGAGUAACGCGUAGGUAACCUGCCUGGUAGCGGGGGAUAACUAUUGGAAACGAUAGCUAAUACCGCAUAAUAUUAAUUAUUGCAUGAUAAUUAAUUGAAAGGUGCAAUUGCACCACUACCAGAUGGACCUGCGUUGUAUUAGCUAGUAGGUGAGGUAACGGCUCACCUAGGCGACGAUACAUAGCCGACCUGAGAGGGUGAUCGGCCACACUGGGACUGAGACACGGCCCAGACUCCUACGGGAGGCAGCAGUAGGGAAUCUUCGGCAAUGGACGAAAGUCUGACCGAGCAACGCCGCGUGAGUGAAGAAGGUUUUCGGAUCGUAAAGCUCGGUUGUAAGAGAAGAACGGGUGUGAGAGUGGAAAGUUCACACUGUGACGGUAGCUUACCAGAAAGGGGCGGCUAACUACGUG